UACGGGGGGGGCAAGCGUUGUUCGGAAUUACUGGGCGUAAAGGGCGCGUAGGCGGCCCGCUAAGUCGAACGUGAAAUCCCCGGGCUCAACCCGGGAACUGCGUCCGAUACUGGUGGGCUCGAAUCCGGGAGAGGGAUGCGGAAUUCCAGGUGUAGCGGUGAAAUGCGUAGAUAUCUGGAGGAACACCGGUGGCGAAGGCGGCAUCCUGGACCAAUAUUGACGCUGAGGAGCGAAAGCUAGGGGAGCAAACGGG
rnacentral:rRNA from 1 species